rnacentral:rRNA from 1 species
UGGAGAGUUUGAUCCUGGCUCAGGACGAACGCUGGCGGCGUGCUUAACACAUGCAAGUCGAACGGAAAGGCCCAGCUUGCUGGGUACUCGAGUGGCGAACGGGUGAGUAACACGUGGGUGAUCUGCCCCUGACUUUGGGAUAAGCCUGGGAAACUGGGUCUAAUACCGAAUAUUCAUUUUUCCUCGCAUGGGGAUUUGUGGAAAGCUUUUGCGGUUGGGGAUGGGCCCGCGGCCUAUCAGCUUGUUGGUGGGGUAAUGGCCUACCAAGGCGACGACGGGUAGCCGACCUGAGAGGGUGAUCGGCCACACUGGGACUGAGACACGGCCCAGACUCCUACGGGAGGCAGCAGUGGGGAAUAUUGCACAAUGGGCGCAAGCCUGAUGCAGCGACGCCGCGUGAGGGAUGACGGCCUUCGGGUUGUAAACCUCUUUCAGCUCCGACGAAGCGCAAGUGACGGUAGGAGCAGAAGAAGCACCGGCCAACUACGUGCCAGCAGCCGCGGUA